rnacentral:rRNA from 1 species
AGAGUUUGAUCCUGGCUCAGGAUGAACGCUGGCGGCGUGCCUAAUACAUGCAAGUCGAACGAAACUUCUUUAUCACCGAGUGCUUGCACUCACCGAUAAAGAGUUGAGUGGCGAACGGGUGAGUAACACGUGGGCAACCUGCCCAAAAGAGGGGGAUAACACUUGGAAACAGGUGCUAAUACCGCAUAACCAUAGUUACCGCAUGGUAACUAUGUAAAAGGUGGCUAUGCUACCGCUUUUGGAUGGGCCCGCGGCGCAUUAGCUAGUUGGUGAGGUAAAGGCUUACCAAGGCAAUGAUGCGUAGCCGAACUGAGAGGUUGAUCGGCCACAUUGGGACUGAGACACGGCCCAAACUCCUACGGGAGGCAGCAGUAGGGAAUCUUCCACAAUGGGCGAAAGCCUGAUGGAGCAACGCCGCGUGGGUGAAGAAGGUCUUCGGAUCGUAAAACCCUGUUGUUAGAGAAGAAAGUGCGUGAGAGUAACUGUUCACGUUUCGACGGUAUCUAACCAGAAAGCCACGGCUAACUACGUGCCAGCAGCCGCGGUAAUACGUAGGUGGCAAGCGUUAUCCGGAUUUAUUGGGCGUAAAGGGAACGCAGGCGGUCUUUUAAGUCUGAUGUGAAAGCCUUCGGCUUAACCGGAGUAGUGCAUUGGAAACUGGGAGACUUGAGUGCAGAAGAGGAGAGUGGAACUCCAUGUGUAGCGGUGAAAUGCGUAGAUAUAUGGAAGAACACCAGUGGCGAAAGCGGCUCUCUGGUCUGUAACUGACGC